CCCUGUUCCAGGCGCCCAGAGCAAGUCAAGUCCCGCCGGCCAGAGCGGUGUCACGAAGUGAGAGUCUCUGGAGGCAGAUGAAUCUUGAAAGUCAUAUGUGGAAGAAGCACAAGAUAGAAAGGAGGCUGAGUUUCUGGGUCACUGUCACACUAGAAAUGUUUACAUGCACUGUUGGAUCAUUAUUGAGCCAUUGCCAUGUAUAAACCACCAUGCUGGGCUCUAUAGGCAAUGAAAAAAGAAUAUUAGAGACUACCUCACAGUCUCCACCCUCCAGGAUCUUAAAUU